rnacentral:rRNA from 1 species
CAGCAGCCGCGGUAAUACCGGCGGCCCGAGUGGCGGCCACUUUUAUUGGGCCUAAAGCGUCCGUAGCCGGGCUGGUAAGUCCUCCGGGAAAUCUGGUCGCUUAACGAUCAGACUGCCGGAGGAUACUGCCAGCCUAGGGACCGGGAGAGGCCGGGGGUAUUCCCGGAGUAGGGGGGAAAUCCUGUAAUCCCGGGAGGACCACCUGUGGCGAAGGCGCCCGGCUGGAACGGGUCCGACGGUGAGGGACGAAGGCCAGGGGAGCGAACCGGAUUAGAUACCCGGGUAGUCCUGGCUGUAAACGAUGCGGACUAGGUGUCACCGAAGCUACGAGCUUCGGUGGUGCCGGAGGGAAGCCGUUAAGUCCGCCGCCUGGGGAGUACGGCCGCAAGGCUGAAACUUAAAGGAAUUGGCGGG